AAGUCGUAACAAGGUUUCCGUAGGUGAACUUAACACGUAUCCAACGUUAAACCCCCCGUGAACCUUCAGUGCGCUCGCACUUUCUUAGAAAAGGUAGCAAUCCCUGGUAAAUCAUUGCCGAACAGUUUUGAUUCAGGGACUUCUGAGCGUGAGGCAACUGAAAGUGUCACCAGCUCUGUACGAAUGGCGCAGUCACGAUCGCUAGAGACCGGGUCACUGGGCGCGAGCCCCCCUCGUCACCUUUGCAUGAAAACGGGCCUGCGCUUAAUUGUGCGGCCACCAAACUCGAACAACUGUUAACAAUGGAUAUCUUGGUUCUC
rnacentral:misc_RNA from 1 species